CAAGAACAGGGAAAAAAGUAGGAGUUAACGCUUCAAUUUGAGGCUUCAUUGCGUGAUCUUUUCUUAAUUAAUUUUACAGCUGAGCAACUCUAUGUCCGGAUAAGUGUUUUCAUUCUGUAAAAUGUCCAAAAGGAUACUACGUAUCCUUUUCUUAAAUGCUCUUUUUGGCAAUUCUCUUAUGCAAGAUGGUACCUCAUUCCACCAUUUUACUCCAACAUGAGAAAAAGACUUUCGUUGAAUUUCUAGUUUCGAUUGUUUAAUGUAAAAAUUAUUUGACUUUGAAGAAUGAGUAGUAUAAGAAUGAAUAUCUGACGUUUUCUGGAAAAGAUUGAGAAUAUUGACUGGUGCAACUCUAUUUUUAACAUCAUGCAUCAAUGUAAGUACAUUUUCAUAGAAUGAGAUAUUUACUGGUAAAAUAUUUGUAGCAACAAAAAAAGGUAUUGCGUGUUCUCGUUUAUCUGAAAAAUGGAUGAAGCGAAGAACACGUUUUUGCAAAACUAAGAUAUUACUCCAAUUUGAUUUGCUUGUCUGACCCCAGAUAACAAGACAAUAGGAGAGAUAUGGACCUCUUAGCGAUUUAUAAAUAUUAAGUAAAGUAUGUUUAGGUACAAAGUGCCUUAAUUUUGAAAUCAUGCCUACAGUUUUAC